GACAACGCUGGCGGCGUGCUUAACACAUGCAAGUCGAACGGUGAACCAGAGCUUGCUCUGGGGAUCAGUGGCGAACGGGUGAGUAACACGUGGGCAACCUGCCCCAGACUCUGGGAUAACCUCGGGAAACCGAUGCUAAUACCGGAUACGACCACUUCGGACAUCCGACGGUGGUGGAAAGUUUUCGGUCUGGGAUGGGCCCGCGGCCUAUCAGCUAGUUGGUGGGGUAAUGGCCUACCAAGGCGACGACGGGUAGCCGGCCUGAGAGGGCGACCGGCCACACUGGGACUGAGACACGGCCCAGACUCCUACGGGGGGCAGCAGUGGGGGAUCUUGCACAAUGGGCGAAAGCCUGAUGCAGCGACGCCGCGUGAGCGAAGAAGGCCUUCGGGUUGUAAAGCUCUGUCUGGAGGGACGAACAAAAUGACGGUACCUCCGGAGGAAGCCACGGCUAACUACGUG
rnacentral:rRNA from 1 species